AGGGAAUCUUCCGCAAUGGACGCAAGUCUGACGGAGCAACGCCGCGUGAGUGAAGAAGGUUUUCGGAUCGUAAAACUCUGUUGUUAGAGAAGAACAAGUGCUAGAGUAACUGUUAGCGCCUUGACGGUAUCUAACCAGAAAGCCACGGCUAACUACGUGCCAGCAGCCGCGGUAAUACGUAGGUGGCAAGCGCUGUCCGGAUUUAUUGGGCGUAAAGCGAGCGCAGGCGGUUCCUUAAGUCUGAUGUGAAAGCCCCCGGCUCAACCGGGGAGGGUCAUUGGAAACUGGGGAACUUGAGUGCAGAAGAGGAGAGUGGAAUUCCAUGUGUAGCGGUGAAAUGCGUAGAUAUAUGGAGGAACACCAGUGGCGAAGGCGACUCUCUGGUCUGUAACUGACGCUGAGGCUCGAAAGCGUGGGUAGCAAACAGGAUUAGAUACCCUGGUAGUCCACGCCGUAAACGAUGAGUGCUAAGUGUUGGAGGGUUUCCGCCCUUCAGUGCUGCAGUUAACGCAUUAAGCACUCCGCCUGGGGAGUACGACCGCAAGGUUG
rnacentral:rRNA from 1 species